GACGAACGCUGGCGGCGUGCCUAAUACAUGCAAGUCGAACGCAGUGGGGACGGGUGAGUAACACGUGGGUAACCUCCCAUCAGAGGGGAUAACACUUGGAAACAGGUGCUAAACCGAUACUGAUGGAUGGACCCGCGGUGCAUUAGCUAGUUGGUGAGGUAACGGCUCACCAGGGCCACGAUGCCUAGCCGACCGGAGAGGGUGGUCAACCCCACUGGGACUGAGACACGGCCCAGACUCCGACAAGACCCACCAUGAUCAGAUGUUCGGCAGUGGACGAAAGUCUGACCGAGAAACGCCGCGUGAGUGAAGAAGUUUUUCGGAGCUUGAAGCUCGGUUGUUAGAGAAGCGGGAUCUAACCAGAAAGCCACGGCUAACUACGUGCCAGCAGCCGCGGUAAUUC
rnacentral:rRNA from 1 species